CUGCAGGGCGGCUGCUAAUACAUGCAGUCGAGCGAGUCUCUUCGGAGGCUAGCGGCGGACGGGUGAGUAACACGUAGGCAACCUGCCUCUCAGACUGGGAUAACAUAGGGAAACUUAUGCUAAUACCGGAUAGGUUUUUGGAUCGCAUGAUCCGAAAAGAAAAGGCGGCUUUAACCUGUCACUGGGAAAUGGGCCUGCGGCGCAUUACCUAGUUGGGGGGGUAAUGGCCUACCAAGGCAACAAUGCGUACCCAACCUGAAAGGGUGACCGGCCACCCGGGGACUGAAACCCGGCCCAAACUCCUACGGGAGGCACCAUUAGGGAAUUUUCCACAAGGGACAAAAGUCUGAUGGACCACCCCCCCGUGAACAAUAAAGGUCUUCGAAUUGUAAAGUUCUGUUGUUAGGGACAAACAAGUACCGUUCGAAUAGGGCGGUCCCUUGCCGUUACCUGACAAGAAGCACACGGUAAACUAUGUCCCAGUGCCCGCGGUAAAACUUAGGUGGAAGCCGUUGUCC
rnacentral:rRNA from 1 species